UACGAAGGGGGCUAGCGUUGCUCGGAAUCACUGGGCGUAAAGGGUGCGUAGGCGGGUCUUUAAGUCAGGGGGUGAAAUCCUGGAGCUCAACUCCAGAACUGCCUUUGAUACUGAGGAUCUUGAGUUCGGGAGAGGUGAGUGGAACUGCGAGUGUAGAGGUGAAAUUCGUAGAUUAUUCGCAAGAACACCAGUGGCGAAGGCGGCUCACUGGCCCGAUACUGACGCUGAGGCACGAAAGCGUGGGGAGCAAACAGG
rnacentral:rRNA from 1 species